rnacentral:rRNA from 1 species
GAUGAACGCUGGCGGCGUGCCUAAUACAUGCAAGUCGAGCGAAGCGGGGACGGGUGAGUAACACGUGGAUAACCUCCUAUAAGACUGGGAUAACUUCGGGAAACCGGAGCUAAACCGGAUGCUUAUAGAUGGAUCCGCGAUGCAUUAGCUAGUUGGUAAGGUAACGGCCUACCAAGGCAACGAUGCAUAGCCGACCUGCGAGGGAGAUCGGCCACACAGGAGCUGAAACACGGUCCAGACUCCUACGGAAGGCAAGAGUAGGGAAACGUCCGAGAUGGGCGAAAGCCGUACGGAGCAACUCCGCGUGGGAGAAGAAGGUCUUCGGAUGGUAAAACUCUGUUAUUAGGGAAGCGGGACCUACUCAGAGAGCCAAGGCUAACUACGUGCCAGCAGCAGCGGUGAAAC